GUGGGGAAUAUUGGGCAAUGGGCGCAAGCCUGACCCAGCAACGCCGCGUGAAGGAAGAAGGCUUUCGGGUUGUAAACUUCUUUUACCAGGGACGAAAAAAAUGACGGUACCUGGAGAAUAAGCCACGGCUAACUACGUGCCAGCAGCCGCGGUAAUACGUAGGUGGCAAGCGUUGUCCGGAUUUACUGGGUGUAAAGGGCGCGUAGUCGGGAGAGCAAGUCAGGAGUGAAAUCUAUGGGCUUAACCCAUAAAUUGCUUUUGAAACUGUUUUUCUUGAGAGAUGGAGAGGCAAGCGGAAUUCCUAGUGUAGCGGUGAAAUGCGUAGAUAUUAGGAGGAACACCAGUGGCGAAGGCGGCUUGCUGGACAUUAACUGACGCUGAUGCGCGAAAGCGUGGGGAGCAAACAGGAUUAGAUACCCGGGUAGUCC
rnacentral:rRNA from 1 species